UCUAGGCUCGCUGUAUUCAAGAAUAUCAGGAUUCUGUAGAGUUUAAAAGAGAGAUCGUUGAUAUUGCCGCCGGCGGAUUCAUCGAUGGUUUUGAGAAUUAUAAGGUCCGCCUGCUGCAGAUAAUACCGUAUUUGGAGCUCCACUCCUUUCAGCUCGGGAACAGCAAUGAGGAAGCUUCCUCAUCAAAUGAGGACUGAGCCUCCUCAUCCUUGAGUUGGGGAUCGAGGAGAGUAUCUGCCACUCAGUCAUUGC
rnacentral:lncRNA from 1 species